AAAUGUUUGGCUUGGUGAUCUUUUG
rnacentral:piRNA from 1 species